ensembl:lncRNA
CGAGCGGCGCGUAGAAAGGUGUGGCCGCGAAUCUGGCCUCGCUGGAGCUGUGCGGACCUAGGGCAGCCUUGACCUUCGCAGGCUCAGCGAGCUGAGAACAAAGUGACGGAGGAAACUUCCCCGAGUGCGCCCGGUGUCCCUGCGGGGCCUCGCUCAGGGGCGCAGAGCGGGCGGGGCUCGAGAGGUCCGCGGUGCCGGGACUGGGACCGAGGUAAGGGCGACGCGGGCGGGGACGCGGGCGAGGGCGCCGCUGCGCGGCCGGAGCGUCUCCCGUGGGUUCCCUGCCGCGGGGCGUCCCGUAGCCCUGCACUAACCUUCACCAGUGGGCAGUCUCGCCCUUUCUCCCCGCCGGCUUUGGAGGCGACCCGGGGCUCGGCGGGGACACUUUGCUCCGGGAGGGUGGCAGCUCUCAGAGCCUUCGAGAUCUCUCGGGUCCAGCCUGACUCGGGAUUGAUCCCUUCCAAAAGACUCCGAAGCGAGGUCCUGCCCCGCCCCCACGUGCGGCGCGGAUACUUUAGGGUCCAUCUGUGUCAUCCAGGUUUGGAGUUUUGGAGGUGGCGGCGCGGUUCAUCCCCAUACAGCUCUUUUCGCCCCGGGGCGAAGGGCGCAGCGGGGAGCAGGUGAGCCUCCUGGCUUGGCCAUCCGGGAGAGAACCGAGGAUCGCUCGCCCUGCGACCACCCAGACCAGUGCGGCUCCCCGCCGACCGCGGUGCCAAGUUUCUGUGAAAGCCGACAACAUUGUGUUCCUGAUGGAUCGUAUUUACAACAAACAGUUCAGGAAGAAAAGGGCCCAUUCUUCCAGCAGCAAAGUGUGCGAGUAGGAUUCCGCGAGGGGUUUUUAUCUCCGAGACCGGAAACUUAAUAUGGACGAGCUUCCAUGGCUCUCCUUACUUUAAAAAAAAAAAAAAAAGAUGAAAAAUGGGUAACUUUAUAUUAUGGGUGGGGGAGGCUGCUUGAUCGCGAAGAUAAUUCCAUUCAGGGGAGGUUUUCCUGCUAUUCGUUCUCCGCAGCUGCUGGAAGAGAGGCCGCUAGGUGACAUUCCCAGGCACCCUUGGUGUGCUCUACAAGUUUACAGUUCAGGUGCAAAAGGUUCUCUUCUGGGGGCAAGUCUCACCUUGGGGAAUUCUGGUCCCCAAAUUCGGCUGCAGUCCUCAUUUAACUGGUAACACCCGACGUCUCCAAUUGAAGAUUGAAAAUGGGAUGCCUCGAAGAGCUUUUUUUGAAAUGCCUUCCAAGUUUCUUCCAGGUCUCUCAUUGAGCCUGGAGCUUUCCAAUUCACCCAGACUGGCUGGUUAGCAGGCUCCGAGGGUUCCCCAUCUCUGCCAACACAGCAUUGAGAUAUUAUAGACUCACCUGGAUGUGGCUUUGCAGAGCCCCCUCUUUUUCCUUUAAUGUGGGUCUAGGAAAUUGAACUCACAUCUUCAUGCUUGUGUGGUAGGCCCUUUAUCCACUGAGCAGUUUCCUGGGCCCCAAAUCUUUGACUCCUUAGAUGGGUCUUACCAGUCAUAAAGUGUAGGCCCACCCCACUUGCAGUGGAUGGCCACACACCCAAAACUAUUUGGGCAACACAAAUUGAACUUGAUGCUUUUGUUAAAGGGCACAGAAGUGGGUGGGUAGGAAGUCAGGGGGCAGAUCUUGGAGGAAUUGGGGAAGGGAGGAUGAAUAUUGUAAAAAUGUGCUGUAUGAAACCUUCAAAGAGCUAAUAAAAUUUUUUUUAAAGAAACAAAGAUGUCAACAUGAAUGAAGGAGCCUUCUGGAAUGGGUACCCGCUGUGUGAGUUCAUUGAGCCCUGAUGAAUGUUGCUGAAUCAGAAACCAA